rnacentral:ncRNA from 1 species
CAAACGGCCCUUUUCAGGGCCACCAACAUUUUACAAAAGAAUUUA